rnacentral:tRNA from 2 species
GGCGAUGUAGCUCAGCUGGUAGAGCGGAGGACUCAUAAGCCUUAGGUCCGGGGUUCGACUCCCCGCGUCGCCACCA